CAGUCGCCGCGGUAAUACGUAGGUGGCAAGCGUUGUCCGGAAUUAUUGGGCGUAAAGGGCUCGCAGGCGGUUUCUUAAGACUGAUGUGAAAGCCCCCGGCUCAACCGGGGAGGGUCAUUGGAAACUGGGAAACUUGAGUGCAGAAGAGGAGAGUGGAAUUCCACGUGUAGCGGUGAAAUGCGUAGAGAUGUGGAGGAACACCAGUGGCGAAGGCGACUCUCUGGUCUGUAACUGACGCUGAGGAGCGAAAGCGUGGGGAGCGAACAGGAUUAGAUACCCGGGUAGUCCCUGUCUCUUAUAC
rnacentral:rRNA from 1 species